AGAGUUUGAUCCUGGCUCAGGAUGAACGCUAGCUACAGGCUUAACACAUGCAAGUCGAGGGGAAACGACAUCGAAAGCUUGCUUUUGAUGGGCGUCGACCGGCGCACGGGUGAGUAACGCGUAUCCAACCUGCCCACCACUUGGGGAUAACCUUGCGAAAGUAAGACUAAUACCCAAUGACGUCUCUAGAAGACAUCUGAAAGAGAUUAAAGAUUUAUCGGUGAUGGAUGGGCAUGCGUCCUAUUAGUUAGUUGGCGGGGUAACAGCCACCAAGACGAUGAUAGGUAGGGGUUCUGAGAGGAAGGUCCCCCACAUUGGAACUGAGACACGGUCCAAACUCCUACGGGAGGCA
rnacentral:rRNA from 1 species